rnacentral:rRNA from 1 species
UGGACAGGGAGACAGGUGGUGCAUGGUUGUCGUCAGCUCGUGUCGUGAGAUGUUGGUUAAGUCCCGCAACGAGCGCAACCCCUACGUUAGUUGCUAACGCGUGAAGGCGAGCACUCUAGACGAACUGCCGUUGACAAAACGGAGGAAGGUGGGGAUGACGUCAAAUCAUCAUGCCCCUUAUGUUCUGGGCUACACACGUGCUACAAUGGCCGGUACAGACGGACGCAAAGCCGCGAGGUGGAGCAAAUCCUAAAAAGCCGGUCUCAGUUCGGAUUGCAGGCUGCAAUUCGCCUGCAUGAAGUCGGAAUCGCUAGUAAUCGCAGGUCAGCAUACUGCGGUGAAUACGUUCCCGGGCCUU